rnacentral:rRNA from 1 species
UAACACGUGGGUGAUCUGCCCUGCACUCUGGGAGUAAGCCUGGGAAACUGGGUCUAAUACCGGAUAUGACCAUGCUUUAGUGUGUGUGGUGGAAAGUUUUUUCGGUGUAGGAUGAGCCCGCGGCCUAUCAGCUUGUUGGUGGGGUAAUGGCCUACCAAGGCGGCUACGGGUAGCCGGACUGAGAGGUUGGUCGGCCACAUUGGGACUGAGAUACGGCCCAG